rnacentral:ribozyme from 1 species
AUGACAAAAGGAGAGAGAAAGUGGAAAAAAAGAGAAACCGAUCAAAAGGACUCUUCAAAGUCCCUUUCUUCCGUUGCUUCUUCUUCUUCUUCUUCAUCUUACUCU